rnacentral:tRNA from 1 species
UCCUUAGUGGCUCAACUGGUAAAGAAUCUGCCUGCAAUGCAGGAGACCCAGGUUCGAUCCCUGGGUCAGGAA